CACUUUCCCCUGAAAUUCAAAUGAUUUACCAACACAUACCCAACUUUUUUGUCAUCUCACCCACACACUCAAAAGUUGUCGAAAAAAGUUUCCAUAAGUAAGAGCAGCGUAGCUAUAAGAAUUCGCACUCUUAAUAAGAAUUAUAUGCGUUAGAGCGAGCAAGUGAAAAUCAGGCGAAAUUUGACAGCGAAUUUCAAAUUUGAUUCUAGUAGGCUGCGAAGAAAAACAUCAAUUUCGCGCAAAAUUUUGGAGAUAGCCAAACAUCAGCAGGAGACUUAAGCCAUCAGAACCUUGAAGAUUGCCAAACAUCUGCAAAGACAUCCACAGCACACUGAACACCAUUGGUCACCAACAGCUCUCAACCCUACAUCAUACCAGCUACAUUGUUCGAUGAGUUUUAUUGUUCAAAUCAGUCAUGCCCAGCGCAGGGCACUUGCAUA